rnacentral:rRNA from 1 species
GCUUAACACAUGCAAGUCGAGGGGCAGCAUGGUCUUAGCUUGCUAAGGCCGAUGGCGACCGGCGCACGGGUGAGUAACACGUAUCCAACCUGCCGUCUACUCUUGGACAGCCUUCUGAAAGGAAGAUUAAUACAAGAUGGCAUCAUGAGUCCGCAUGUUCACAUGAUUAAAGGUAUUCCGGUAGACGAUGGGGAUGCGUUCCAUUAGAUAGUAGGCGGGGUAACGGCCCACCUAGUCUUCGAUGGAUAGGGGUUCUGAGAGGAAGGUCCCCCACAUUGGAACUGAGACACGGUCCAAACUCCUACGGGAGGCAGCAGUGAGGAAUAUUGGUCAAUGGGCGAGAGCCUGAACCAGCCAAGUAGCGUGAAGGAUGACUGCCCUAUGGGUUGUAAACUUCUUUUAUAAAGGAAUAAAGUCGGGUAUGCAUACCCGUUUGCAUGUACUUUAUGAAUAAGGAUCGGCUAACUCCGUGCCAGCAGCCGCGGUAAUACGGAGGAUCCGAGCGUUAUCCGGAUUUAUUGGGUUUAAAGGGAGCGUAGAUGGAUGUUUAAGUCAGUUGUGAAAGUUUGCGGCUCAACCGUAAAAUUGCAGUUGAUACUGGAUAUCUUGAGUGCAGUUGAGGCAGGCGGAAUUCGUGGUGUAGCGGUGAAAUGCUUAGAUAUCACGAAGAACUCCGAUUGCGAAGGCAGCCUGCUAAGCUGCAACUGACAUUGAGGCUCGAAAGUGUGGGUAUCAAACAGGAUUAGAUACCCUGGUAGUCCACACGGUAAACGAUGAAUACUCGCUGUUUGCGAUAUACAGCAAGCGGCCAAGCGAAAGCGUUAAGUAUUCCACCUGGGGAGUACGCCGGCAACGGUGAAACUCAAAGGAAUUGACGGGGGCCCGCACAAGCGGAGGAACAUGUGGUUUAAUUCGAUGAUACGCGAGGAACCUUACCCGGGCUUAAAUUGCAGAUGAAUUACGGUGAAAGCCGUAAGCCGCAAGGCAUCUGUGAAGGUGCUGCAUGGUUGUCGUCAGCUCGUGCCGUGAGGUGUCGGCUUAAGUGCCAUAACGAGCGCAACCCUUGUUGUCAGUUACUAACAGGUUCCGCUGAGGACUCUGACAAGACUGCCAUCGUAAGAUGUGAGGAAGGUGGGGAUGACGUCAAAUCAGCACGGCCCUUACGUCCGGGGCUACACACGUGUUACAAUGGGGGGUACAGAGGGCCGCUACCACGCGAGUGGAUGCCAAUCCCAAAAACCUCUCUCAGUUCGGACUGGAGUCUGCAACCCGACUCCACGAAGCUGGAUUCGCUAGUAAUCGCGCAUCAGCCACGGCGCGGUGAAUACGUUCCCGGGCCUUGUACACACCGCCCGUCAAGCCAUGGGAGCCGGGGGUACCUGAAGUGCGUAACAACGAGGAGCGCCCUAGGGUAAAACUGGUGACUGGGGCUAA